GAUGAACGCUGGCGGUGUGCCUAAUACAUGCAAGUCGAGCGAACAGACGAGGAGCUUACUCCUCUGACGUUAGCGGCGGACGGGUGAGUAACACGUGGAUAACCUACCUAUAAGACUGGGAUAACUUCGGGAAACCGGAGCUAAUACCGGAUAACAUGUUGAACCGCAUGGUUCAAUAGUGAAAGACGGUCUUGCUGUCACUUAUAGAUGGAUCCGCGUCGCAUUAGCUAGUUGGUAAGGUAACGGCUUACCAAGGCAACGAUGCGUAGCCGACCUGAGAGGGUGAUCGGCCACACUGGAACUGAGACACGGUCCAGACUCCUACGGGAGGCAGCAGUAGGGAAUCUUCCGCAAUGGGCGAAAGCCUGACGGAGCAACGCCGCGUGAGUGAAGAAGGUCUUCGGAUCGUAAAACUCUGUUAUUAGGGAAGAACAAAUGUGUAAGUAACUAUGCACGUCUUGACGGUACCUAAUCAGAAAGCCACGGCUAACUACGUG
rnacentral:rRNA from 1 species